rnacentral:rRNA from 1 species
UACGUAGGUGGCAAGCGUUAUCCGGAAUUACUGGGCGUAAAGCGCACGCAGGCGGUCUUUUAAGUUUGACGUGAAAGCUCCCGGCUUAACUGGGAGAGGUCGUUGAAUACUGGAAGACUUGAGGCAAUGAGAGGGGUGUAGAAUUCCCGGUGUAGUGGUGGAAUGCGUAGAUAUCGGGGGGAAUACCAGUGGCGAAAGCGGCACCCUAGCGUUAGCCUGACGCUCAUGUGCGAAAGCGCGGGGAGCAAACGGG